GUAAUGAAAGUACUAGGUAUAUAGGGGGAAAUGCCCUCUGUUAGUUUUUAAGCCGAGGAAAUGAGAGUCAUAAAAAUAUAACCACAGAAACAACAACAACAACAACAACAACAAGAUUUUGGCUUACUUCAUCCUUUAAAUGAAUUCUUUUUUUUAAACGUUGAUUACAUCCAGAUGUGUUUCUGAGCGCUUGGAUGCAGUAAGACAAGAUAAACUUGCUGACUUAUGCAUGUUCACUGCUCUGUUUAAAGUGGUUGAGCACAUGAUGAGGUGCAGCCUCAAAUCAUACCUUCACACAGACGGCACAAAAAGAGUGGCAAGGGUUGGCAAGGGACCAACCUUACGGUCAGAAAGACUGGGUUCAUUAAAUUUAGAGAAUGCACUCAGACUGAGAUUUAAGUGUCACUGGAAGUCAAGAACUUUUAACAAGAGGUGGUUACAUUGUUUCUAACGAGUGAAUGAAGCAAACCGUUUAGUGUUCAGAGUAGGCUGUGGACUGGCAGAGACUGGAGCCAAGCACAGUUACAUGGUUUUGAUGUGUCUCAGUGAGAGUGGCUGUCACCAAUAGGGCCAGUUCUGAGAAGAUCACUAAGAAGGAAACAGAUGUUUCAUGAAUGUAAGUUCCUCUUCCUGUCACCACUGAAGGUGUGUGACUCCAGGAGGAAACACGUGGGUUAUAUAUUUGGUUCUGGUAUAGUUAUUAGCAGUAUUCAUUUAAAAAUGCAUGAGAUGAAUUUGUUUAGAAAAUUUAAUGCUUUUACAGUAAAGUCAUUAAAAGUCACAGACACCUCAAAGAGUGAAAGAAAAUUGGAAUAAAAUAAAGCAGGAAUCUCUUCUAAGUGACAACUGAUGCUGAAGUCUGUGCACGGGUAGCACUGUGGUGGAUGCUCCUUCUUUCUGCCCUGCCUCCCACUGUGCCCAUCUAUGAAGGCAUUGGAAUGUGUUUGAAUAGAUUUCCAAUCUUACUUAAGUGACUCCUGCCAUCUUUAUAUAUGAUAUGAUAUCAUGUUGUUCUUCAUUGCUUUUUUGUUGUUUUGGCCUUUCUCAAGCCAAAAGCCUGAUUCUUGGCACCACAGAACCAGUCCCAUAUUAACUAAGAAAAUAACUUUCAUUGUCUACUGUUUAAAAAGGUUAUGCUAGUACAGGAUAUUUUCAUGGUGAUAUCAUGUAUAGUAAGAUAGGACCUAACAAGAACACCUGUGACAUGGUUCCACCUUUCUGCUUACCAGGACACCUGGAAAGACACUGUUGUGUUUUCAGACUCUCCUUGUUCCCACAUGAUUUUAGCCUUAGGUUGGGCCCUCAUGCUUUUCCCUACAGGAAUGUUCUAGGUGGCUGAGUUUUAGGAGGGCUAGAAUAUGCAGGUGAACUUCAUCAGUAUUUAUGCUUUUUUAAUGCAUUCUUCCAGUUGAUAUAUGGAUUCCAAAUUUGUGCCUUAAUAGUUUUUCAAAUUAUUUUGUUGUAUCAUGCAUAACCAGUUUGUUUCUGAUUAUCUAAUUUUCUUUAAAUAUUAUUUAUUUUGCUUUUCUAUAAACUAUAAGAAUAGUUUAAUAAAUAUUAUAAGUAUAAUAAAGAAUUGUUAUAGCUGGAUGUGGUACUGCUGUCCUGUGACUUCAACUCUUGGGAGGCUAAGGCAGGAAGACUGCUACUAGUUCCUAGUAGCCUUCAGUACAGAGUGGAUUCCAGGCCAGCCUGGAGUACAGAGGGAGACCUUGACUCAAGGUUGUAACAUGUAUGGUACAGAUCUAGCUCUUUGCCCACCUAUAGCUUACAGUAAUUUCCUGGGCUGAGUGGCUGUUUAGCAGCCAUGGUGUUCACUUUAUUUCACUUAAUACCUUAGUUAGAUACUCAAACGCACAAACUCUUGAUUGUUGCAGUAAAUAUUUGAUCUCAUUUGGGAAUUCCUACCCUACCUUUGAUCAUUCAGUUCCCAGAUAAAAGACAUACAACUUUCAUAUUUAUAAUAAGCUGUUAAAACACCAGAGCUGUGCAGACAUCAACCCUCUAUUCUAUUUUGCCUACUUCUUUGCAAAUAACCCUGAGAUUUAACUUGCCAUGUUUCCUCUGGGAGCUCUUAACUCGAACUGGCCAGACCUCAUUACCAUGUUUUCAUGACUCACCUACCCCAUGCCAUCUUCUUCUCUCUCUAACUUCUCUCUCUCGGCUCUUGCCUCAAUAUAUCUUCUGCCCAGCUGUAGGCUGUAGGCAUCUUUACUCACCAUUUAGGGAUAACCUGGGGGGGCAAGGUCACAUAGUAUCACCUGGGCCUAUGCGAAAAAAGAAGAACUAUCCACAGAGAGCCGUAGACUUUUAGUACCCACUCUCUGAAUUCUACUGGAUCAAGGUAGACUUAUAAUGAAUACCACGUGAUGUUUUAAGAUUAAUUGUUAUGUGGCUUGUGAGUGCCAGUUAGCUAUUAAUAGCUUAUUGGAAAAUUAAUCUUGAUAUUUUCUGCCACAAUAACCCAAGUAAAGAAUCUAUAACUCUUAAAUUCAUGCUUUAUAAAAUAUUUCAUAUGAGUCUAGGGAUAUUUGCCUAAGUAAAUUUUUUUUUUGUCAGAGAGGAGGAUCAUUAUCCUCUGGGGUCUAUUAAGAAUUAUUUAUUGAAUUACACACAAUGCC
rnacentral:lncRNA from 1 species